AAAAAAAAAAAUAAUAGGUUAAUGAGAUUUAUUUAUAUGAAUCAUUGAAUUCAUGCAGCUAAAUUUUCACAGUAAGGUGUCAAUUAGUUCACCUUAAGCAUCAGGCAUGUUAAAGGAGUGCCAUCUAUGUUUUGUUUAUCACAUAUCAAAAAUUCGAGUUUAAUUCUUAUUCUUUUGUCACAAGCUUGUAUGAAGGUGUGCCAUUUUCUAUUUAUAUAAUUGGUCUUAAGUCUUUCAAACUUUAUGCUUAUGUGAAAAUUUGACCUGAUAUAAUGAUUAUUUUGUAUUUAAAUUCUUCAUUGCAAAUAGUUGCCACUGGGGUCCAAAAUGUUGCAAAUAAUUG
rnacentral:misc_RNA from 1 species